ACUGCUCAGUAACACGUGGCUAAUCUGCCCUUGGGACCGGAACACCCCCGGGAAACUGGGGCUAAUUCUCGAUAGGUGAAGAACUCUGGAAUGAGUCUUCGCUUAAAAGUUGUCAGAGUUAUGCUCUUUGGCAACGCCCAAGGAUGAGGCCGCGACCGAUCAGGUUGUUGGUGAGGUAAUGGCUCACCAAGCCUUUUACCGGUGCGGGCCGUGGGAGCGGGAGCCCGGAGAUGGGUACUGAGACAAGGACCCAGGCCCUACGGGGCGCAGCAGUCGCGAAAACUUUGCAAUAAGCGAAAGCUUGACAGGGCUAUCCCGAGUGCCAUCCGCUGAGGAAGGCUUUUACCCAGUCUAGAACGCUGGGGGAAUAAGGAGAGGGCAAGUCUGGUGUCAGCCGCCGCGGUAAUACCAGCUCUCCGAGUGGUGUGGAUGUUUAUUGGGCCUAAAGCAUCCGUAGCUGGCUAAGUUAGUCCCUUGUUAAAUCCACCGAAUUAAUCGUUGGAUUGCGGGGGAUACUGCUUGGCUAGGGGACGAGAGAGGCAGACGGUAUUUCCGGGGUAGGGGUGAAAUCCUAUAAUCCCGGGAAGACCACCAGUGGCGAAGGCUGUCUGCUAGAACGCGCCCGACGGUGAGGGAUGAAAGCUGGGGGAGCGAACCGGGUUAGAUACCCGGGUAGUCCCAGCUGUAAACGAUGCAGGCUAGGUGUUUGGACGGCCACGUGCCGUUCUAGUGCCGCAGGGAAGCUGUUAAGCCUGCCGCCUGGGGAGUACGAUCGCAAGAUUGAAACUUAAAGGAAUUGGCGGGGGAGCAC
rnacentral:rRNA from 1 species